AGGCCGUGGUCUGGUAGAUCGGCACCUGUCGGGCGCCGGUGGCCGGGUCCGGUUCGGCGCCGGCAUGGACGGC
rnacentral:tRNA from 1 species